GGCUGAAGAGCAGCAGGUCCGGGAGGCUUUCCAGGUCCUCGGCCGCCAGCAUGUCGAGGGUGAGGGCGGUGAGCACGAACUGAUCCACCUCGGCCACCAGCAGCGCCGCAAAGCCCAGGGAGGGGACAGUGUUCUUCACCAUGCCCCGCAGCCACACUGCCACCUGAUUCCAAUGCCCAGACUUGAUCUGACAUCCCAGCUGGACCGAGGGGAAGCACCCUGGCUCCUGGCUCUUCAGGGCUCCAAGAAAAGGGAGCUCCUGAGAGGCACCUGCACAGCAGGUUACAGGAUGGUGAAGGAAAACGGGGAAGAGAAUCCUCUGCAGGCAGGUCUGGAGCAAGUGGCACCACAAGGGAAGGGCUCGGGAAGGGCUCAGGAAGAUCCAAAGGGAGCGUUUCCAAGAGUCCUGAGCAGGAAAAAUCCUGUGACCGUCAGAGUGAGCCAGUUAUGGAGAAUGGACACCCUCUAAGGAAGAGAGGGAAUAAGUCCACUCACAGGACAGCCAAGAAACCCCAGUGGAAAGAGAUCAAACAUGUGGUGAAUGCAGGAAAAGCUUCCGUUGGAGAUCCAGUCUGAUCACCCAUCAGCGACUGCACACAGGGGAGAAACCCUACAAGUGUGAUUGCAGGAAAAGCUUCAAUGAGAGCUCAGCCCUUAGUGUGCACCGGAGGAACCACAUGGGAGAAAAGCCUUUUAUAUGCCCUGACUGCAGGAAAAGUUUCACUCAGAGCUCAAACCUCAUUCAGCACCAGAGGAUCCUCACAGAAGAGAAACCCUACAAGUGUUGUGACUGUGGGAAAAGCUUCAAUGACAACAGGCACCUCAUUAGACACCAGGCAGCUCAUGUUUCUGGAGAAAAGCCAUACAAGUGCCCUGAAUGCUGGAAAAGUUUCAGCAAGAAAUCAGACCUUGUUAGACACAAGGGAACCCACAUCACGGGGAGACCCUACAAAUGCCCCGACUGCGGGAAAAGCUUCAGCCAGAGCUCAGAACUCAUCAGACACCAGAGAAUCUAUACAGGAGAGAAACCCUACACAUGCCACAACUGCAGAAAAAGCUUCGGCCAGAGCUCAGCACUGACUAGACAUCAAAGGAUCCACUUGAGUUAGCCCUUCACCUUCGGGGACCUGCCCCAUCCAAAUCAGUGAAGAAGUGCAUGGUGUGGGAGGGGUGGCUGGAGACCAACGUAUGUUGGGAGAUGGAGGGGAAACUGCUGGUCGCUGGGAUCAUUCAGAAACAGAGGAUAUUGGUGUUCUUGUCAUUUACAAUGCCUCCUUGUCCUGGAGUGUCUUUGGGCUGGAAGGAGGAGACACGAAUCUAAUGGGACUUGGUGGAGGAUCAGUCUGGGAUCUAAUUGGAGGCUGUAUGGUGCCCCCCCUUUGGGGUAUGUAGUCUCUACACUCUGCGAGUGGCAGAGUCUGCAAGGAAACCUAGAGAACCCCACCUACUCUGAAGGAAGUUGAUAAGCAGCCGGUGGUGGGUGGGCUCAGCUGAUGUGGCUUUAUUUAAACUGAUGGGGCAGGAGGGAGGCUGCAGGUGAGCUGAAAAUAAUACAGUAUUGAUAAAUGCUAGACAUUUGAGUCAACACAAUUAGACAAACACCACCAGCCCAUCACCCACACAUCACAAACAAAACACCAGCUGUGCCCACUGAUUGCACCCACAUACCUGUACACACCCAUUGCCAGCUGUGCUGCUGAGUGCACUCAUACCCUCACACACCCAAUGCCAGCUGUGCCUGCUGAAUGCACCCACAUACCCAUACACAUCCAAUGCCAGCUAUGUCCAUUGAAUGCACCCCUGGCAGCACAACAAUUAACUCCUAGUGUGUAACACUGAGUGCUUAGAGGCAAUCAGCUCAGUUUACUGUGUGAAAGAGCUUAUCAGCUGGUGGUCCCAGUGAUGGUGCAAGAGAUAGGGGAAAGAUUCUCUCUACAAAUGCUCAGUCUCUACAUUUGAAUAAGAUUGUGGAAUCUACUCCAAUUAAACAGUUGUGGGAUGGUCCUCAGCUCUACUCAUUCCUUGCUCCUGGCAGGAGUGGGAACUUCCAAAGAGGGCAGGGGCAGGCAGGCCUGUCCUGACAAGGGUCUUUUCUCUCUUGACACUGGCCUGGCAUGAUCCCUGAGGUCCUGACUGGCAGUAUAAAGGUACCUCGUGUCAGUAGCUGGCAGUGCCCUCUGAGUGGAGCUUUGGGUAUGGAGUGCUGUCUCCCUGAAGCUACCCUGGUAGACUGCCCAACUUCAGGGCUCCCUCUCCCCAGCCUUUGGGGAAAAGGGCCUGGCUUCUGACUGGGUUAAAGGGCUCAGGUACCAUCACUGGUUAGUCAAAAACAGGAAUGUGGGCGGUGACAGAGGGAUAGCUCAGUGCUUUGCACGUUGGCCUGCUAAACCCAGGGUUGUGUGUUCAGCCCUUGAGGGGGCCAUUUGGGGAUUGGUCCUGCUGUUGAGCAGGGGGUUAGACUAGAUGACCUCCUGAGGUUCCUUCCAACCUUGAUAUUCUAUGACUGAAAAUUUUUUAUUUGUUGUGACAUUUUCAAUAAAAAAAAUUGUAUUUGUCUUUUAUUCUUCUCCAUUU